GUUGGUUGCACUAAGAGAAGAUGGAAGGAGAGACUUGAAGUUUUACCGUAUUCCGAGGGAUCCAAAGAGGAGAGUGAAAUGGACGGCUGCAAUUCGACGUGAAAACUGGGCACCAAAAAAUCACCACAGACUAUGUAGUAGUCAUUUUAUAUCCAGUAAGAUGCAUUUAAGAUAUACUUAGAGGGUUUUGGGCUGACAAAUAACCACAAUUAAGAUCAUUGCUAGGCUAAUCGCGGACAACAUACACGUAUGUAUGUAGUGAGAGUGCUAUCGCUAAACCAUAUAAACAUUAAAAGCCUUAACUCCAUUGACAAACGACAUGAAAUACAUUAGACUUGACAGUGGAUGUUAGCAAUAACAAAAGAUUUUGAAUUGAAAAUUUCGUAACUCACCUUUCCAAGCACAAGAUAGAUUCCUGCCAAAUUUUCAUGGACGAGGACCUGUUUCACCCAACCAGCAACGAAGUAUUUAUAAGCCUCCAAGCUCUUGAAGUUUUUCAAAUUUUCGUGAGAAUAGGCUGAUUUUGUGUGGACAAGAUAAUUGUAAAUAUCAGCGUAGCAGAUGUCAGGCAGACAGGGCGAAGACAGUGGGUCGAAAAACAUCGAUUUGGGCAUCAAAUAUGGAUCUGGGGACUGUAUAGAACGAAGCUUUUCCACAUAACGCCUUUUAUGCAACACAUCCAGUGAGUUUACGGCAUCAGAAAGCACCGGGUCUUCCAUGAAAUGCAUUUUAAAUUCCUCGAUCAAUUGAAACCAAUGCUAAUACAGAGAGAAAAUGACGGACAAGUGGGCGGAACCAUACAGCGAGCACGUGGUUUUGUGACGUCGGUGGGUAGGGUCUAUAGCCACAAGCAGCUGGAGAGAGAAGACCAUGCUAAACAGAGUGACGAGCUCAACAGGGACAUCGGCAGAACACUUGAGAAGUGAUCAGGAGCGUGGAAAACGCGUCUAUUGAGCUUAAACUGUCUCGGUAAGCAAGCGUUCUACUCGGAGCAGACGAGCUAACGGCUAAUGCUAACGAUGCAGACGAGCUAACGGUCAGGUCUUUUUGUGAGACUGGACUAAAGAUAAGAAGGUUCCGGAAAUUUGAUGGCGAGCUUCCCAGCGUGAAAAGACCAAGAAACUUCAUCCUUCAGGGACAACGCUUCAGUGUGGUAGGACAAUACCAACUGACAGGAUUCCAUACAAACUUUGGAGAAAGAAAUACCUUACACAGGAUUAAGGAAAAAAAGUGAUCACUAGAGUGAAAGACAAUUUUGUUUAUUAUUUUUGGGCCCAAAUUUUAUUUUCUUAUAUUGUUCUAUUGUUCUGUAUUGCAUUGUUGUUAAUG